rnacentral:rRNA from 1 species
UAGGGAAUCUUCGGCAAUGGGGGGAACCCUGACCGAGCAACGCCGCGUGAGUGAAGAAGGUUUUCGGAUCGUAAAGCUCUGUUGUUAAGGAAGAACGAGUGUGAGAAUGGAAAGUUCAUACUGUGACGGUACUUAACCAGAAAGGGACGGCUAACUACGUGCCAGCAGCCGCGGUAAUACGUAGGUCCCGAGCGUUGUCCGGAUUUAUUGGGCGUAAAGCGAGCGCAGGCGGUUAGAUAAGUCUGAAGUUAAAGGCAGUGGCUCAACCAUUGUAGGCUUUGGAAACUGUUUAACUUGAGUGCAGAAGGGGAGAGUGGAAUUCCAUGUGUAGCGGUGAAAUGCGUAGAUAUAUGGAGGAACACCGGUGGCGAAAGCGGCUCUCUGGUCUGUAACUGACGCUGGGGCUAGAAAGCGUGGGGAGCGAACAGG